rfam:Gossypium hirsutum cultivar TM-1 chromosome 10, whole genome shotgun sequence
UGUUAAAAAUUUCAUUUAAUUCUACUGUUAAAAAACGGCGUAGUUGACGUAAUAAAUAAAUAAUUGCACGCUACACGCCAUGUGCACCUCAUAUUGAUGUACAGUGACCAAUUUUUAAUAGUAAAAAUUGAUGAAAUUUUUAACA